rnacentral:rRNA from 1 species
UACAGAGGGUGCAAGCGUUAAUCGGAAUUACUGGGCGUAAAGCGUGCGUAGACGGUUAUGUAAGUCAGAUGUGAAAGCCCAGGGGCUCAACCUUGGAAUUGCAUUUGAGACUGCAUAGCUAGGGUGCGGAAGAGGGAAGCGGAAUUCCCAGUGUAGCGGUGAAAUGCGCAGAUAUUGGGAAGAACACCAGUGGCGAAGGCAGCUCGCUGGGACGUUACUGACGCUGAGACGCGAAAGCGUGGGGAGCAAACAGG